GUGCUUGCUUUGGCAGCACAUAGGCUAAAAUUGAAACAAUACAGAGAGAUUAGCAUGGCCCUUGCAUGAGGAUGGCACGCAAAUUCAUGAAGUGUUCCAUAUGUUU